rnacentral:rRNA from 1 species
UACAGAGGGUGCAAGCGUUGCUCGGAAUUAUUGGGCGUAAAGGGUAGGUAGGUGGUCUUAUUUGUCUGAGGUGAAAGCCUUGAGCUUAACUCAAGAAGGGCCUCAGAAACGGUAGGACUAGAGUCCUGGAGAGGGUCGUGGAAUUCCCGGUGUAGCGGUGAAAUGCGUAGAGAUCGGGAGGAACACCAGAGGCGAAAGCGGCGACCUGGAAAGGCACUGACACUCAACUACGAAAGCGUGGGGAGCAAACAGG